CUGGCGACUACGUACACGUGGCGUGGUCACACAAUCUGCACCUUAAAGAAAGCUGGACGUGGACCCCUCUCUCUCUCUCUCUCUCUCUCUCUCUCUCUCUCUCUCUCUCUCUCUCUGUUCCCUGCUCUGCUCUGCCCCUGCCAUCUUUCUCUCUCUCCAGGCCUGGCUCUCCUCCCUCCCGUCCCCUCCUUCCUUCCAAUAACGCUCUCUGUAACUCUGGUAGUCUUGGCCGUGGCUUGUGACUUUUCCCCGGGAACCAGCACUGCCACCAGUGCCGAUUAUCAUCCCUUCAUUGGUGCCGUGGACUCGGAUAGGAAAUUCUGCUCACUCGGUGUCCGGGGCGGAGUGUUGUUGGACACCUAUACCGAGGACCUGUGACUGCCCGCUGUGCCGUCACCGCAGCCGCCACCACGGUACUGCAUCGGGACUGUGCUCAUGCCUCCCAGACUGCUGCCUCCGCCACGUCUCCCCGACCACACGUGCUGCCAAGAUUGCUCCAGAAACCAGCUUAAAUCCAUCUGGACAGGGUGGAUCUACUUCAGGCUUCUUCUGUCUCACCAUCAUCCUGUCAGACACAGGAGCGGCCAGAGUGCCAAGCCAAGAGGGAUGGACGGCUCCAGGGCAACAGGACAGCCCACCAUCCCAGGACGCCUGUCUACCUUGGAAGGCCACCUUCCCUACCCACCCCAAGAGCCAACUGAUGCCCACCAGGUCAGCUGAAAGCAGUUUUUUCAGGAGAAACGACGCCCCUGUUCCUGUUCACUCACUUUUUUACAAUAAGCAAAAAGUCUGGAAUGUUAGGAUCCUGCCCUCACUCCUGCACAUGCGCAGCUUGGGGUCUUACGUCUUAUGUCAUUGGGGACACGGGUGACUACGUACACGUGGUGUGGUCACACAAUCUGCGGCCUAAAAAAACUGGACAUGGAUCCCUCUCUCUCUCUCUCUCUCUCUCUCUUCCCUGCUCUGCUCUGCUCCUGCCAUCUUUCCUUUUCUCCAGGCCUGGCUCUCCUUCCUCCUGUCCCCUCCUCCUUUCUAAUACAGCUCUCUGUAACUCUGA